AACGAACGCUGGCGGCAUGCCUAACACAUGCAAGUCGAACGGGACCUUCGUGCCUAGUGGCGCACGGGUGCGUAACGACUGGGGACCUGCCCUUAGGUUCGCAAUAACUCCCGUUAGGGGUACUAAUACCGGCUAAUGUUAUCGGCCCAAAGGGUUAUCGCCUUGGGAUGGGCCGGCGUUGGAUUUGCUAGUUGGGAGGGUAAAACACUACUAAGGCAGCGAGCCAUAGUUGGUUUGAGAGGCGGAUCAGUCACACUGAGACUGGGACAAGGCCCAGACGGGAGGGAGAGGCAGGAGUGGGGAAAAAUGGAGAAGGAGCGUAAGCCUGAUACAGCAAGGGCGCGUGAGUGAUGAAGGCGUUAGGGUUGUAAAGCGCUUUACACGGGAUGAGAAUGACGGUACCGGGAGAAGAAGCACCGGCUAACUCCGUG
rnacentral:rRNA from 1 species